rnacentral:snRNA from 1 species
AUUCUUGUGCAGGGGUAGACGCUUGAGCCAGUGACGUUUCGACGGAGGCCAAGUUAUUUGCUUAAUCGCAAACAAACUACCAUUUUCGUCCUUGUCGCUUUAACGCAACAUGGCAAUUUUUGGAAUCGCUUUCG